AAGUCGUAACAAGGUUUCCGUAGGUGAACCUGCGGAAGGAUCAUUAUCAAUAAUCCGAAACUUUUUUUUAAUAUUUCCUUCACCGGAAUAUUAAAAAAAUAUCAACCAACCGUGAACUGUUUUGCCUCCAACGAGGAAGGGAACGUGCGGGUAAUGCUGUGCUAGUACUUUCUUUGUUGGUUGUAUUUUUUAAUUAUUUUAUUAACCCUUCCAACAAAACCUUUUUAAACUUAAUUCUGAACUGAAUUAAUUUUCUUUUUCCUUUUUUCUAAGGAAAAUUAAAAUAAAAAUACGAAAAAUUAUUAGAACAACUCUUAGCAACGGAUAUCUUGGUUCUC
rnacentral:misc_RNA from 1 species